rnacentral:rRNA from 1 species
GGGGGGGGGGGGGGGGGGGGCGGGCGGGGGCGGGGGGGGCGGCGGCGGAGUGGGGGGGGGGUCGGACGGGUGGCGAGGGGCGGACGGGUGAGGACUACAUGGGGAUCGAGUUUUUCGGGGGGGCUACCGGCGGGAACCGUACGCUCAUCCCGCAUACGCCCUACUGGUGAAAGCAGGGGAUCUUCGGACCUGGCGCGUUUGACUGAGCGGAGGUCGCAUUAGCUAGUUGGCGGGGUAAAGGCCCACCAAGGCGACGAUCCGUAGCUGGUCUGAGAGGAUGAUCAGCCACACUGGAACUGAGACACGGUCCAGACUCCUACGGGAGGCAGCAGUGGGGAAUAUUGGACAAUGGGCGCAAGCCUGAUCCAGCCAUACCGCGUGGGUGAAGAAGGCCUUCGGGUUGUAAAGCCCUUUUGUUGGGAAAGAAAAGCAGCAGGUUAAUACCCCGCUGUUCUGACGGUACCCAAAGAAUAAGCACCGGCUAACUUCGUG